GUCCACGCCGUAAACGAUGUCAACUAGCCGUUGGGAACCUUAGUGUUCUUGGUGGCGCAGCUAACGCGAUAAGUUGACCGCCUGGGGAGUACGGUCGCAAGAUUAAAACUCAAAUGAAUUGACGGGGGCCCCGCACAAGCGGUGGAGCAUGUGGUUUAAUUCGACGCAACGCGAAGAACCUUACCAGGUCUUGACAUCCAGAGAAGUCGCUAGAGAUAGCUUCGUGCCUUCGGGAACUCUGAGACAGGUGCUGCAUGGCUGUCGU
rnacentral:rRNA from 1 species